UUGUCGUGUAAUUCCCAGACGAAGGUGCAACUGGAGAGCCACAUCCGCUCGCACACUGGCGAGCGUCCCUUCAUCUGCGAGUUCUGCCCCACCACCUUCUCGCAGCAGUCCAACCUCUACAAGCACAACCGACAGGUGCACCUAAACCAAAAGCCGAAGCCGCGUCUCACAGCGAGAAAAGCACAACCAGAGCUGAAUAUAAAAAUAUGGAGAAAAUGAAACAAAAAUUAUAUUUGUACCAGGGUCUUGAUAUAUUAUGUACAGCAUAUCGCGGGCUUCAUGCGAGAGGGGCGUACAUGCAAGAUUUAGAUUUUGCGUUUUUCAUGGCAAUCGAUUCCUAUACUAGUUAUGCACGUUCUGUAUUUUUUUUUAAUUUUCAGUAUAAUAUAUUUUGAGAUAUUAAUAAAAAAUAAAGGCGUAUACGAUGUAACAAUAAUUUAGUAUCGUGUCAAAAGGCGUAUAGACGGCGGCGGCGUAUAAACAUCAGUGGGGGGCAUUCAAAUAAUAUCGCCAUGUCAUACAGACGUGUACGGUGCCACAAACUUAUCUGUUCCGGUGAGAGCUCACGUAAAUGUCUAAUAUUUCUUGAUUCUAUAAGAUUUUAAGUUAGCCUGCAGUGGUAAUUCACCCUUGUGGUUUUGAUAAACCCUAACUUUAAUAAAUCUAAUCUAUAUGAAUCUAUAAUUCAUAGGUAAGUUAUGAGAUAUGGAUCAAUUUAGUUCGCUCUCACCGGAACAGAUAAGUUUGUGGCACUAUAUCUGUAUAGAUAUAUUAGAUAUCUGUCAUUAGUGAUUAGGUAGCUGUCCGAUACCCAUAUUACAGGCUCUAGCUAGUUUAGGGUCGGAUGGCCGUGUGUGAAUGUACUCACAUCUUAUUAUUAUUAUUAAAAUGUGCAGUCGUGGGUUUGACUGCACUGACUGAGUGUUUUUGUAUUUUUGAGUAAAUUUAUUGUAACUUAUUAUAAACUGCAUUUAAAAAUGUAAAUAAUCUAAUUAUAUUAGAUAUUUUAUUUUGAAUUAAAUUAUUUACUUACACUUAUUUAAAAUAGAUGAAUCUAUUGAUAUUGUAAAUAUUCUUCUGUCUUGUGUUGGUUUGUAGAAAUAAAAAAUGAAACAAGCA